UAGAGGAAGUAAAAGUCGUAACAAGGUUUCCGUAGGUGAACCUGCGGAAGGAUCAUUAUCGAAAAAGCUUUCGGUUGUUGCUGGCUCCCUCUCGCAGGGGGGCAUGUGCACACCGAUUUCAUCCUUCACACACCCCAUGUGCACCUUCGCGUGGUUUGUACCUCUUUUACUAGGGGGAACACCGCGUUUUCUACACACUCUUUUGUAUGUCUUCAGAAUGUCUAUUGUUGCGAUACAACGCAUCCAAUACAACUUUCAACAACGGAUCUCUUGGUUCUCGCAUCGAUGAAGAACGCAGCGAAAUGCGAUAAGUAAUGUGAAUUGCAGAAUUCAGUGAAUCAUCGAAUCUUUGAACGCACCUUGCGCUCCUUGGUAUUCCGAGGAGCACGCCUGUUUGAGUGUCGUGAAAUUCUCAACCCUUCCCCCUUUUACGAGGCGGGCUUGUGGAUUGGACUUGGAGGUCUUUUGCCGGCGUUUUACUAAGUCGGCUCCUCUUAAAUGUAUUAGUAGGACCUUCAGUUGAAGAAGCCUCGGUGUGAUAAUUAUCUACGCCGGCUCGUGUGCUAUAUUCACUGUAUGUUGAACCUGCUUCUAACCGUCUCGCAAGGGACAAA
rnacentral:rRNA from 1 species